GCAAAAGUUUCAGAGAAAUCUACCCCGAACAACUGGGCAUAUCCCUUGACAACAAGCCUUGCCUUAUACUUCUUCAUAGAACCAUCAAGAUUGAACUUGGUCGUGUAAACCCACUUGACUCCUAUAGCUUUCUUAUGUCUAGGUCUGUCAGCCAAUUGCCAUGUCUGAUUUUUUUUCAAUCAUCUUGAGCUCCUUCGUUAUUGCAUCUAUCCAUUUCUGAUCAGUUGCAGCUUCUUCAUAUCCUAUAGUUUCCAUUAUGGCUACAUCACAUCUCUGGUAAAUGUCAGAGAGUAAUAUGGUUCCUCUAACAGAUUCAUCAUCCACAUCAUCAUUCUCCUCCUGAAACUCAAGUUUCUUGUCAUUUUUCAAGCUCCAGUUGUCUGACUCAAGGAAUUGCACAUCUCUAUUAACAAUUACUUUGUUACUUUGUGGCAAGUAGAUCCUGCAAGCUUUUGAUGUUGAGUUGUAGCCUACAAAGAUUCCUGGUUCUGCUUUCCUAUCUAACUUGUCUUUCUUAACCUGAGGAAUGUAAGAGAAGCAAAGGCAACCAAAAGUUUUCAAAUUUACUAAUUUUGGUUUGAAACCAUACCAAGCUUCAAAUGGAAUUCUUCUCUGAAGAGCUUUUGAUGGUAAUCUGUUUAACAAGAAAACUGAUGUGUUUGUUGCCUCUGCCCAGAACUUCUUUGGCAGAUCCUUGCCAUGAAGUAAGCAUUUUGUCAUCUCCAUUAUUGUUCUAUUUUUUCUCUCCACAACCCCAUUCUGCUGUGGGGUAUAAG
rnacentral:lncRNA from 1 species